ensembl:lncRNA
AAAAAAAAAAAAAAAAAAAAAAACCAAAAAACAAAAAAACACAAACCAAGCCUGCAGUGGAAGCAAAACUGCCUUAAACUACUCCGCGUCGGAAAUCCAUGUAUAGUCCUUGCUGCCGUCCCUCCGUGCAGCGGGAUCACCGGCUGGCGAGCGCCUGUGCGCGUAAGGCAGGGAGAAGCAGGCUCGGCUCGGCGCUUUCUGCCUCAGCAGUCCAAAAAGAAACAACAGAAACUGUUGCCUGUAAAAGGCAGCUGCCUCUUUACCUCUUCUCCACUCCUCCCGACUGCCGGGGCUGGGGAGCGGCUCCUCAGGGAGCAGAGAGAGAAGGAGGAGGGUGGAAGGGGACUUUGCAAAAGUGCCCGAGCAUCGGGGACAGAAGUUUCCAGGGCUGAGCUCUCUGCCUGGGACCUCGGUCCGUCAGCGGCAGGCGAUUGCUUUGGCAAAGGAGCCGAGGUGCCGGAGGAAGAGGAGGACAUCACCCAGCGCCACCCUCAGGAGUCCCCACCCAACCAGGGCCACCUGCCUGCCACCCGAAGUGUCAAUGGCUAUCAUCCUGCAAGGACAACUGUGCAGAGCCACCAUUCCUUCGUCUCAUCCCUCCUCGGUGCGUUGGCACACCUGGGAGAAGUCGGACACAAAACGCGCACGCACACACUCACAAAACCAACCCCAAAUCUGGAUCAGUAUCAGAGAGAAUUAAUUACUGGCUCAUGCAUAUUCAGAUGAGAAACUCAGCUGAACCUGGCGGCGCCUUGGGCGGCCCUGCAAAGGAGAAUUCCUCAGGAGAGAUAUAAAUCACCGCUCCCUUCUAUUGCUUUCCCCAUGGAGCGCUACCUCCUGGGGAAGAAUUGAACCUUGAUUUCCUUUUUUCCCCUCCUUCUUCUUCAUUUUCAAUCUGCGCGGGGCCCCCGUAAUUACAAUGGGCUGCUUUAGGGCUUGAGUUAUUUAUUGGGUAACAGGGACACACCUACUCAGCUCCAGCCGCCUGCCUGCCCGCGUGUUGUGGCUUUUUUCCCCCCCCCCCCCCCCCCCCCCCCCCCCCCCCCCCCCCCCCCCCCCCCCCCCCCCCCCCCCCCCCCCCCCCCCCCCCCCCCCCCCCCCCCCCCCCCCCCCCCCCCCCCCCCCCC